AUCCUUCACUCCCUAAGGCUUGGUGCCCUGUUGCGAGAGGGAACGGGCUGACGGGAGUAUUUCUCUUCCUAAGGCUGGCAAAUUCUCAGCCCCUACAUUGACCCUUGCAAGUUCCUUCCCCAUCACUUCGUGGGUGUUGCUUUGUGUUUGCAUUUGGACUUGACUCAUUUCCCCCCCCUUUCAUGGCCCUGCAUUGUUCCUCCUUUCAGAAGAUAGUAAUUGCAUAGCUGCUUUACUGGACCCCUCCAAGCCGGCAGGGUUCAUUAGAGAUUUCUAGAUUAAGAGCCGUGACGCUGGACCUCAGGUCCUGGAGGUCCCGAGGACAGUCCAGUGAAGGGUCACUGCAGCCUGGGGCUCUAAGUAGCCCAGAGCAGACACCAAGGCAGGCCCUGUUCUGAUGCUCUGGGAGCACUAACUUACGCCAUCCUCAUGGUGACUUUGGGAGGGAGGUGCCAUUAUUACACCAUUUGACAGAAGGUGAAGCUGGGGCCCAGAGAGGGUAAGCAACUUGCUUAAAAUGACUCAUGAAGUCCAUGGCUGAGCCAGGAUUUGAACCCUGGCAGCAUGGCACCACCACAGCCUGUGCACAACCUCUAAAUUUCCCUGACUUUCUGGAACGGACAGCGAGCCUGGUAGUAUUCCAGGAGGAAUCUCAAACCCUCAUUCUUUGUGAAGUCCAUGUGACCAUCAAAUCAGGAGGCUGUUUCUCUGUGGGCAGUUCUGAGAAUCAAGAUUGUUCAUCUCUGCGUGUGUUGUACCCCUGAAGGAAUGGGAUCGUGAGUAACAUGCAUCCUUCCCAUCAAGCAGCGCAUUGGAGUUGAUAGCUAAGUGUCCGUGCAUUAGUCAGCUUGCCCUUAGCUAGAGCUCUGGUAUCACACGGUGGUAAGCUGGACACAUAAUUAAAAGUUUGGAAAUACAGUAAAGCAUAAAUUUACUUACAACCCUACCAUCCAGAGGUAACUGCUGUUAGUAUUUUAAUAUAUUUCAUUUUAACCUUCUUUGAUGUAUAUCUCUGUUUACUUGAUUUGGAACAUUCUAUGUGCAAAGUUUUGCCCCCCAUGCUUCCCCAUGCCAUUAAACAUUUUGAAAAUAUAAUUUAAGUGACUGUACUAUUCCAUCAUAUUGAU